UACAACAAUUCACUUAUUCAAAAACAGGUUUUUAAAUGUACAAAACCUCAUAGAAUACUUCAUAAAGUGGCGUCCAAUUCUUCUCUUCCCCCAAAAUUUCUAAAGGUAAUCACAGCAUAUUAAAUUGUUUCCUUAGAAUACAUUUCUACAACAGAGUAUACUGGAAAGACAACAGAGAAGUCAAGAGAAUAUCCAACUUUUGUAUACGUAUGACAUCAUUCCCAGGGGCGCCAGAAACCCAAAUUUCAGAAGCAAAAGCAGCAGCAGUAGCUUGUGCGUAGUGCUAACUGCCAGAGGACGGGAAGAGAAGCCGUCACCGCAGAAACCAGAUUCCAAGCUACACCAGCAACACGGAAAUGUGAAGCCGAAAAUUGGAAACUGGCAGCAGUCAGAACCAGCAAGUCUGAAGACUGGCUGGAAAAAGGAGGGAGGUAGAAGACAGACAACCACCAACAUCCACAGGAGUCUGGGCACCCUCGACAGAAGCGACAGCCUUUGCGGGGACCCUAUCGACCGGGGAUCUUACGGAGGAAUCGCAGGCAGGCUCGAAACGUGGCCUCCAGUGACCCGACCAGUGAGUGGCGGAUCCCC